rnacentral:rRNA from 1 species
GACGAACGCUGGCGGCGUGCUUAACACAUGCAAGUCGAACGGAAAGGCCCUGCUUGCAGGGUGCUCGAGUGGCGAACGGGUGAGUAACACGUGGGUGAUCUGCCCCUUACUUUGGGAUAAGCCUGGGAAACUGGGUCUAAUACUGGAUAGGACCAUGCUGUAGGUGGUGUGGUGGAAAGAUUAGUUUCGGUAAGGGAUGAGCUCGCGGCCUAUCAGCUUGUUGGUGGGGUAAUGGCCUACCAAGGCGUCGACGGGUAGCCGGCCUGAGAGGGUGGACGGCCACAUUGGGACUGAGAUACGGCCCAGACUCCUACGGGAGGCGGCAGUGGGGAAUAUUGCACAAUGGGCGCAAGCCUGAUGCAGCGACGCCGCGUGGGGGAUGACGGCCUUCGGGUUGUAAACUCCUUUCAGCCAUGACGAAGCCCUUGUGGUGACGGUAGUGGUAGAAGAAGCACCGGCUAACUACGUG